rnacentral:rRNA from 1 species
AGUGAACGCUGGCGGUAGGCCUAACACAUGCAAGUCGAACGGCAGCACAGUAAGAUCUUGCUCUUACGGUUGGCGAGUGGCGGACGGGUGAGGAAUACAUCGGAAUCUACUUUUUCUUGGGGGAUAACGUAGGGAAACUUACGCUAAUACCGCAUACGACCUACGGGUGAAAGCAGGGGAUCUUCGGACCUUGCGCGAUUGAAUGAGCCGAUGUCGGAUUAGCUAGUUGGCGAGGUAACGUCCCACCAAGGCAACGGUCCGUAGCUGAUCUGAGAGGGGGAGAGGCCACACGGGAACUGAGACACGGUCAAGACUCCGAAGGGAGGACGCAGUGGGGAAGGUUGGACAAUGGGCGAAAGCCUGAAGGAGCAACGCCGCGUAAGGGAGGAAGGCCUUCGGAUCGUAAAACUCUGUGAUUAGGGAAGAACAUAAGUGUAAGUAACUGUGCACAUCGUGACGGGACCUAAUCAGAAAGCCAGGGCUAACUACGUG